UACGGGGGGGGCUAGCGUUGUUCGGAAUUACUGGGCGUAAAGCGCACGUAGGCGGAUAUUUAAGUCAGGGGUGAAAUCCCAGAGCUCAACUCUGGAACUGCCUUUGAUACUGGGUAUCUUGAGUAUGGAAGAGGUAAGUGGAAUUGCGAGUGUAGAGGUGAAAUUCGUAGAUAUUCGCAGGAACACCAGUGGCGAAGGCGGCUUACUGGUCCAUUACUGACGCUGAGGUGCGAAAGCGUGGGGAGCAACAGG
rnacentral:rRNA from 1 species